rnacentral:rRNA from 1 species
GCGCACUUGGACAAUUAUGACGCUGAGGCGCGAAAAGCCGGGGGAGCAAACAAGGAUUAGAUACCCUAGUAGUCCCGGCCCUAAACGAUGAUUGCUUGGGUGUGAUCGGUACCCAAUCCGAUCGUGCGCAGCUAACGCGAUAAGCAAUCCGCCUGGGGAGUACAGUCGCAAGGCUGAAACUCAAAGGAAUUGACGGGGGCCCGCACAAGCGGUGGAGCAUGUGGUUCAAUUAGACGCAACGCGAAGAACCUUACCUGGGCUCGAAAUGCAGGAGACCGGGGUAGAAAUAUCCUUUCCCCGCAAGGGGCUGCUGUAUAGGUGCUGCAUGGCUGUCGUCAGCUCGUGUCGUGAGAUGUUGGGUUAAGUCCCGCAACGAGCGCAACCCUCAUCCCUAGUUGCCACCGGGUAAUGCCGAGCACUCUAGUGAAACCGCCCCGGAUAACGGGGAGGAAGGUGGGGAUGACGUCAAGUCCUCAUGGCCUUUAUGUCCAGGGCUACACACGUGCUACAAUGGUCGGUACAAACCGUCGCAAAGCCGCAAGGUGGAGCUAAUCGGAAAAAGCCGGCCUCAGUUCGGAUUGGAGUCUGCAACUCGACUCCAUGAAGCUGGAAUCGCUAGUAAUCGCAGAUCAGAACGCUGCGGUGAAUACGUUCCCGGGCCUUGUACACACCGCCCGUCACAUCACGAAAGUGGACUGCACUAGAAGCCGGUGUGCCAACCCGCAAGGGAAGCAGCCGUCCAAGGUAUGGUUCAUGAUUGGGGUGAAGUCGUAACAAGGUAACC